GACGAACGCUGGCGGCGUGCUUAACACAUGCAAGUCGAGCGGAGCGGCGAACGGGUGAGUAAAGCGUGAGUAACUGACCCCCUCUCUGGGAUAACAGUUGGAAACGGCGGCUAAUACUGGAUAGUGGGGGGGGACUCGGGUCCUAUCAGCUUGUUGGUGGGGUAGUGGCCUACCAAGGUGACGACGGGUAGCCGGCCUGAGAGGGCGACCGGCCACAUUGGGCUGAGAUACGGCCCAGACUCCUACGGGAGGCAGCAGUGGGGAAGAGUGCACAAUGGGGGAAACCCUGAUGCAGCAACGCCGCGUGCGGGAUGACUGCCUUCGGGUUGUGAACCGCUUUCAGCCAUGACGCGGUAGUGGCAGAAGAAGCACCGGCUAACUACGUGCCAGCAGCCGCGGUAAUAC
rnacentral:rRNA from 1 species